rnacentral:rRNA from 1 species
AUGUGUGAUUUGGAUGAAACCAAAUCUUCAGGAACAGUUGAAGAUGAGAUAUUGAACGAAGAUUUUAUUUCUUUUUGUCCAAUAUCUCAUUUUCAACUAUCCCUGAUGAUACCCACAACAUCUUUGAGUCAAGCUAUAGUUGGGGGCUCUCGGCUCUCGGUGUCCGCGACGCCGCCGCAACAGCAGCCGAAACAGCCAGAAGGCCAACACGGAGCCCCGCCGCCUCCCCGUCCUCUGCUCCGCCUCCAUUUCCGCCACCGCACGCCGCCUCUCCGUCCUCUGCUCCGCCUCCCGUAUUUCUCCCCACAUCCCCUCCGCCUCCCGUCCCAGUGCCCCAGCCGCCUUUCCAUCUCCAAUCCCCGGCCAUUUUCCGAGUAG